rnacentral:rRNA from 1 species
GAUGAACGCUAGCGGCAGGCUUAAUACAUGCAAGUCGUGGGGCAGCACAAAUAGCAAUAUUGGGUGGCGACCGGCAAACGGGUGCGUAACACGUACGCAACCUUCCCGUUACUGGGGAAUAGCCCAGGGAAACUUGGAUUAAUACCCCAUAUUAUAUAGAUCAGGCAUCUGGUUUAUAUCAAAGCUUCGGCGGUAACGGAUGGGCGUGCGGUUGAUUAGGUAGUUGGCGGGGUAACGGCCCACCAAGCCUACGAUCAAUAGCUGAUGUGAGAGCAUGAUCAGCAACACGGGAACUGAGACACGGGCCCGCCUCCUACGGGAGGCAGCAGUAAGGAAUAUUGGGCAAUGGACGAAAGUCUGACCCAGCCAUGCCGCGUGAAGGAUGAAGGUCCUCUGGAUUGUAAACUUCUUUUAUCUGGGGCGAAAAUCGGGUAUUCUUAUCCGCUUGACAGUACCAGAGGAAUAAGCACCGGCUAACUCCGUGCCAGCCGCCGCGGUAACAC